rnacentral:rRNA from 1 species
UACGUAGGGGGCAAGCGUUGUCCGGAAUCAUUGGGCGUAAAGCGCGUGUAGGCGGUUCAGUAAGUCUGCUGUGAAAGUCCAGGGCUCAACCCUGGAAGUGCAUUGGAAACUACGAAGCUCGAGUCCUGGAGAGGAGAGCGGAAUUCUCGGUGUAGAGGUGAAAUUCGUAGAUAUCGGGAGGAACACCAGUGGCGAAGGCGGCUCUCUGGACAGGUACUGACGCUGAGACGCGAAAGCGUGGGUAGCAAACAGG